rnacentral:lncRNA from 11 species
AGUCACUCCUCCUGUGUGAAGACUUCCUUUUGUGUAAAGAAUGACUUGGUGUAAAAAGUGCUGUGUUUGACUUCUACGGUUUGAAAAUUGAGAGAGAAGCCCAGCUUGAAGGCAAGAAGCUGAAGCAAAGAUAUACUAAGGAAGAAAAUGUCUGAGAGGACCUGCAUUAUGGACUCCAUCUGGAUGGGCCUGGAGAGAAGCUUUCAGUGGCUGCUCCUAACUCUGGAAUAGUAAAAAAGAUGACAUGCUUUAUUGGUACAAGAGUGAAGUGGUAUUGCUUAAAAAGCUUCCGAUGGAUUAAGCCAUGGCAUCUGACUUUGGGUUUGAACGGAGGAGUUCAAAGAAUGUUGGCUACCUGGAAACCAGUCUCUAUUCUAGGGUGAGAAGCUGCGUGCAUAUGGUAAAAGUUGAAUGUGCACUAGUCGAUGAAGAAGGAGUUACCAUUUUAGACUGCAACUCUCCAAAUCACCAACCCCAUUCACUAAAUAUGGGGAUCUGCACCCCCAAAGGGUACAUCUAUCAAGCAUUACUAAGAAUAGGCCAUACAACUGCCCAAAGUUGGUUCUCCUCACCACACCGAGACAUGUGCAUGCGAAGCAUCAGGAUCACUUCUAUUUUUAUUAACAACCUUCUGCAUGUGGAAAGCUGUCCCUUGAUUGUUUUCACUGAUGCUGUAAAAGAGAAGCAUCUCUCCAUGUGA